AUAAUCUUAGUUAAGUUCAAUAGAACAUGGGCCUCCAAAAUCCAAUGUCGUAGGUUCAAAUCAUACAAAGUGUG
rnacentral:tRNA from 1 species